UGGCUCAGGAUGAACGCUGGCGGCGUGCCUAACACAUGCAAGUCGAGCGGACGAAUACUAAUGAAGCCUUCGGGAGGAUUUAGUAUGAGUUAGCGGCGGACGGGUGAGUAACGCGUGGGCAACCUGCCCUAUACAGGAGGAUAACAACGAGAAAUCGUUGCUAAUACUGCAUAAGACCCCAGUAAGGCAUCUUACUGAGGUAAAAACUCCGGUGGUAUAGGAUGGGCCCGCGUCUGAUUAGCUAGUUGGUAAGGUAAUGGCUUACCAAGGCGACGAUCAGUAGCCGACCUGAGAGGGUGAUCGGCCACAUUGGGACUGAGACACGGCCCAAACUCCUACGGGAGGCAGCAGUGGGGAAUAUUGCACAAUGGGGGAAACCCUGAUGCAGCAACGCCGCCUGAAGGAAGAAUGUCUUCGGAUUGUAAACUUCUAUCAGCAGGGAAGAUAAUGACGGUACCUGACUAAGAAGCCCCGGCUAACUACGUGCCAGCAGCCGCGGUAAUACGUAGGGGGCAAGCGUUAUCCGGAAUUACUGGGUGUAAAGGGUGCGUAGGCGGCUAUGCAAGUCAGAUGUGAAAGCCCAGGGCUCAACCCUGGGACUGCAUUUGAAACUGUGUAGCUAGAGUGCAGGAGAGGUAAGUGGAAUUCCUAGUGUAGCGGUGAAAUGCGUAGAUAUUAGGAGGAACACCAGUGGCGAAGGCGGCUUACUGGACUGUAACUGACGCUGAGGCACGAAAGCGUGGGGAGCGAACAGGAUUAGAUACCCUGGUAGUCCACGCCGUAAACGAUGAGUGCUAGGUGUCGGGGGUCGACAGACCUUCGGUGCCGAAGUUAACACAUUAAGCACUCCACCUGGGGAGUACGAUCGCAAGAUUGAAACUCAAAGGAAUUGACGGGGGCCCGCACAAGCAGUGGAGCAUGUGGUUUAAUUCGAAGCAACGCGAAGAACCUUACCAAGUCUUGACAUCCCUCUGACCGGUCCGUAACGGGACCUUCUCUUCGGAGCAGAGGUGACAGGUGGUGCAUGGUUGUCGUCAACUCGUGUCGUGAGAUGUUGGGUUAAGUCCCGCAACGACCGCAACCCUUAUCUUUAAUAGCCAGCAAUUCGGUUGGGGACUCUAGAGAGACUGCCGGGGAUAACUCGGAGGAAGGUGGGGAUGACGUCAAAUCAUCAUGCCCCUUAUGACUUGGGCUACACACGUGCUACAAUGGUGACGACAAAGGGAAGCGAAAGAGUGAUCUGGAGCCAACCCCAAAAAAGUCAUCUCAGUUCGGAUUGUAGUCUGCAACUCGACUACAUGAAGCUGGAAUUGCUAGUAAUCGCGAAUCAGAAUGUCGCGGUGAAUACGUUCCCGGGCCUUGUACACACCGCCCGUCACACCAUGGGAGUCGGAAGCGCCCGAAGCCGGUGACUCAACCGCAAGGAGAGAGCCGUCGAAGGUGAAGUCGAUGACUGGGGUGAAGUCGUAACAG
rnacentral:rRNA from 1 species